UACGUAGGGCGCAAGCGUUGUCCGGAAUUAUUGGGCGUAAAGAGCUCGUAGGCGGCUUGUCACGUCGGGUGUGAAAGCCCGGGGCUUAACCCCGGGUCUGCAUUCGAUACGGGCUAGCUAGAGUGUGGUAGGGGAGAUCGGAAUUCCUGGUGUAGCGGUGAAAUUCGCAGAUAUCAGGAGGAACACCGGUGGCGAAGGCGGAUCUCUGGGCCAUUACUGACGCUGAGGAGCGAAAGCGUGGGGAGCGAACAGG
rnacentral:rRNA from 1 species